UAAUUACUAUUGGACUAUCAUGCAGCAGGACUAAUCUUAAUGAGACUAGCCCGGAUUCGCUUCGACUAAGUCCUUCACAAGAAGUUCUUAGCGAAGCCCCCAUUAGGCAGGGGACUGCCAAGACCGUUCGCGUCUUCCUCCUUGCGUCCUCGUCCAGUCGUCCUCCUCGCGGUCUCGUCCUCGUGCUGCUUGACCGACUUCGCCGGACCACCCACCGACGGCGAUGGUGAUGAUCGUCUACCAGUAUACGAGUUCUCGGCUCUGCGCUUCUUCGACUUCAUAAAGCACGACAGCGACGAUGACAGGCGCAAGGCCGAGCUAUGGUUCGACUCCGCUCUGGCCUAUGCUCCUCACAUACAACUCAUAUGUCAAGGCUAGAAGCAGGAUAGAUCAGCUGAAGAGAUUGGGUCACAGUGUGGACAACGUCGACUUCAUCUUAAUGGGUUGUACUUUCAUGUCUGUUGCCCGCGGAUUACCGUGAUUACUUCAUUAGAAAACAGCACGAUGCCUAGAAUUUUCGCUUCACCAUAUUUAGAUGAACUUAAGAGCUCACUGUUCCAGAACUUUCUAUAUCUCUGAUUUCUGAUUUGCAUAUCCAAACGUCCCGUACAUGUUGUUUACGCUAAUCUGCCCACACGCCCUUUCAUUCAGACCAGUUAUACUUCCAGAUUCUGCAAAACUUGAAUUAAAGGUGAAUUUGGUUUUUCCCCAUGUAUCUAGCAUUAACUAUAGUCAAAUCCAAAGGAAAAAAGAGAUGAUUAUUAUAAUUGUAGCUACCGGUUGUCUGCAUGGGACAGCUCAUUGAUUUGGACAGGUUUCAAGCGAUGCUCGAAGCAAUGCCUGGUUUCUUUUGAUGGAAAGAGAGGGCAGCAACUCUCAAGAGGAGACGUUGUCCCAAUAUCUAUGUGCCAACGCCCACUUCCAACAAACAGGUUCUACCUCAUCAAACUCCAAUCCGUAAUUGUUUCAAACAUGAUUAUGGUACCCUUUUGAUGGAGGAGGCCCAGCGGAUCGCUAACAGGAAGCAUAGAUCGAAGGUAUUGCCGUUAUUUCGGGAGUAGGAACUAGUCAUUACUUUAGGAAAUUAGGUUACGAGUUUGAAGGGCCUUACUUUGUGAAACAUCUUGUAUGACGAGAUUAAAAAAAACAAGUUUUCAUACAAUUUUGUAACAUUAUCCUAAAUAAGUUGUAAUUCAUUGCAUAACCAGUCUCUUUGAUUUGAGACUCCAAUACAGUUCUUUUGUUAUA